rnacentral:rRNA from 1 species
UACACGACCGUACCGCAAACCGACACUGGUGCGCGAGAUGAGUAUUCUAAGGCGCUUGAGAGAACUCAGGAGAAGGAACUCGGCAAAUUGACACCGUAACUUCGGAAGAAGGUGUGCCUUUAGUAGGUGAACCAUUUACUUGGGGAGCCCAAUGAGGCUGCAAAAAAUCGGUGGCUGCAACUGUUUAUUAAAAAAACAGCACUCUGCUAAGACGAAAGUCGACGUAUAGGGUGUGACGCCUGCCCGGUGCUGGAAGAUUAAAUGAUGGGGUGCAAGCUCUUGAUUGAAGUCCCAGUAAACGGCGGCCGUAACUAUAACGGUCCUAAGGUAGCGAAAUUCCUUGUCGGGUAAGUUCCGACCUGCACGAAUGGCGUAAUGAUGGCCACACUGUCUCCUCCUGAGACUCAGCGAAGUUGAAAUGUUUGUGAUGAUGCAAUCUCCCCGCGGAAAGACGGAAAGACCCCAUGAACCUUUACUGUGGCUUUGUAUUGGACUUUGAACAGAUCUGUGUAGGAUAGGUGGGGGGCUUUGAAGUGUGGUCGCUAGAUCGCAUGGAGCCAACGUUGAAAUACCACCCUGGUGUGUUUGAGGUUCUAACCUAGGUCCAUUAUCUGGAUCGGGGACAGUGCAUGGUAGGCAGUUUGACUGGGGCGGUCUCCUCCCAAAGUGUAACGGAGGAGUUCGAAGGUACGCUAGGUACGGUCGGACAUCGUGCUAAUAGUGCAAUGGCAUAAGCGUGCUUAACUGCGAGACUGACAAGUCGAGCAGAUGCGAAAGCAGGACAUAGUGAUCCGGUGGUUCUGUAUGGAAGGGCCAUCGCUCAACGGAUAAAAGGUACUCUGGGGAUAACAGGCUGAUACCGCCCAAGAGUUCAUAUCGACGGCGGUGUUUGGCACCUCGAUGUCGGCUCAUCUCAUCCUGGGGCUGUAGCCGGUCCCAAGGGUAUGGCUGUUCGCCAUUUAAAGAGGUACGUGAGCUGGGUUUAAAACGUCGUGAGACAGUUUGGUCCCUAUCUUCCGUGGGCGCUGCAGAUUUGAGGAAGCCUGCUCCUAGUACGAGAGGACCGGAGUGGACGAACCUCUGGUGUAUCGGUUGUCACGCCAGUGGCAUUGCCGAGUAGCUAAGUUCGGAAGAGAUAACCGCUGAAAGCAUCUAAGCGGGAAACUCGUUUCAAGAUUAGAUCUGCCGGGGCCUUGAGCCCCCUAAAGAGUCGUUCAAGACCAGGACGUUGAUAGGUCAGGUGUGGAAGCGU